rnacentral:rRNA from 1 species
GGGCGGCUUGCGCCAUAUUAGUUAGUUGGUAGGGUAAUGGCCUACCAAGACGAUGAUGUGUAGCUGGACUGAGAGGUUGAACAGCCACAUUGGGACUGAGACACGGCCCAAACUCCUACGGGAGGCAGCAGUAGGGAAUUUUCGGCAAUGGAGGAAACUCUGACCGAGCAACGCCGCGUGAAUGACGAAGUACUUCGGUAUGUAAAGUUCUUUUAUCAAGGAAGAAAAGCAAAUGGCGAACCAUUUGUUUGCCGGUACUUGAUGAAUAAGCCCCGGCUAAUUAUGUGCCAGCAGCCGCGGUAAGACAUAAGGGGCAAGUGUUAUCCGGAAUUAUUGGGCGUAAAGGGUGCGUAGGCGGUCUAGUAAGUCAGUGGUGUAAUGGCAACGCUUAACGUUGUCCGGCUAUUGAAACUGCUAAACUUGAGUUAGAUAGAGGCGAGUGGAAUUCCAUGUGUAGCGGUAAAAUGCGUAAAUAUAUGGAGGAACACCAGAGGCGUAGGCGGCUCGCUGGGUCUUAACUGACGCUGAGGCACGAAAGCGUGGGGAGCAAACAGGAUUAGAUACCCUGGUAGUCCACGCCGUAAACGAUGAGUACUAAGUGUCGGGUUAAACCGGUACUGAAGUUAACACAUUAAGUACUCCGCCUGAGUAGUACGUACGCAAGUAUGAAACUUAAAGGAAUUGACGGGACUCCGCACAAGCGGUGGAUCAUGUUGUUUAAUUCGAAGAUACCCGAAAAACCUUACCAGGUCUUGACAUGUUUUUGCAAAAUGAUAGUAAUAUCGUGGAGGUUACCAGAAACACAGGUGGUGCAUGGUUGUCGUCAGCUCGUGUCGUGAGAUGUUAGGUUAAGUCCUAAAACGAGCGAAACCCUUAUCGUUAGUUGCCAGCACGUUAUGGUGGGGACUUUAACGAGACUGCCAAUGAUAAAUUGGAGGAAGGUGAGGAUCACGUCAAAUCAGCAUGCCCCUUAUGACCUGGGCUACAAACGUGAUACAAUGGCUGUUACAAAGGGUAGCUGAAACGCAAGUUCUUGGCCAAUCCCCAAAAACAGUCCCAGUCCGGAUUGAAGUCUGCAACUCGACUU